GAUGAACGCUGGCGGCGUGCCUAAUACAUGCAAGUCGAGCGAACAGAUGAGGAGCUUGCUCCUCUGACGUUAGCGGCGGACGGGUGAGUAACGCGUGGAUAACCUACCUAUAAGACUGGGAUAACUUCGGGAAACCGGAGCUAAUACCGGAUAAUAUAUUGAACCGCAUGGUUCAAUAGUGAAAGACGGUUUUGCUGUCACUUAUAGAUGGAUCCGCGCCGCAUUAGCUAGUUGGUAAGGUAACGGCUUACCAAGGCAACGAUGCGUAGCCGACCUGAGAGGGUGAUCGGCCACACUGGAACUGAGGCACGGUCCAGACUCCUACGGGAGGCAGCAGUAGGGAAUCUUCCGCAAUGGGCGAAAGCCUGACGGAGCAACGCCGCGUGAGUGAUGAAGGUCUUCGGAUCGUAAAACUCUGUUAUUAGGGAAGAACAAAUGUGUAAGUAACUAUGCACGUCUUGACGGUACCUAAUCAGAAAGCCACGGCUAACUACGUG
rnacentral:rRNA from 1 species